rnacentral:lncRNA from 1 species
GACUGGAGGUAGAUUUGGAUACUGGCAUCCUGUCUGGAAGCUUGUGCUGUCAACUGGCUAACUGGCUAACUGAAUUCAGAGUAGAAUAGUCAGUCACCAGUGGGUUAAGUACCAAAAGAAGCUGCCUAUGGGUUCACACAGCUUGUGGGUAAGUGAUAAGAAAAGCAUGUUGUGGCUACAUAGAGAAAUAAAUACUCAGAGGUGUGCAGUGAAAUGCUGGAAACCUCCCUUAUGUUUGGCAAGCACAACUUCUAUUCAGCAGUGUUCAUGUACACAGACAUGCCAACGCCCAGUGAAUAUCUCAAAUCCACACCAAGUUUUCACAGAUGUCAUGUUUUCAUUCAGGUAAAAACUCUUGUUGACCAAAGAGACUUGGUUAUUCAGUUCUCUACAGAGAUUAACAUACAGUCAUUGAAUGUAUUUCCAAUUUCAAUUCCUUUUUUGAGAGAGGGAUAGAAAAAGCAGCAAAGCAAGAAAGAAAAUUCACAACUCUCUGUGAAGAGCACAGGUGUAUUUUCAUCAUACAAAGAUGAGCAGUCAUCGAACACCAAUAAGCACUUUCACUGGACUCUCGAAAAGCCACCACAGAAGGGUAGCAUGGGGGAGAGAAUGGUACUUGGAAGGAAGGACGAUGACGGGAGAGCAGAAAGAGGAGGUGAGGAGGCAGCAGGAAGAGUGGAGUUGGGGAAGAGAGGUAGAAAAGCUGUCUGAAGUAUUUCACAGUGUCCUGCUUGACCUUCAAACAGAUCGGAGACCAUCACGUAAUAGAAAGAAGUGGAGAUCCUACUUGUACCCAGAAAUAGCCUAUCCUAUCACAGAGAAAACUGGACACUGGGUUGUGUCCAGACGCAUAGUGUGUCCCUGACAUUUGUGCUUGAAUGCGUGUCGCCACCAAUGUGCUUGGUUGCAUGUGAAAUUUAGCUAGAAGACACCUACUGCAAGAUGAGCUCCUAGAUUCAGUUUUUGGUAGUACUGCAUCACUUCACUGCAUCAGGAAUAGCUUAAGAGGGAUUCCUUUCAUUGUUAUUGUACUUUGCCUGAGGACAGAAAAGUAUUACCUUUCUUCUCCUCCUCCC